UACGUAGGUGGCAAGCGUUGUCCGGAUUUAUUGGGCGUAAAGGGAGCGCAGGCGGUGACUUAAGUCUGAUGUGAAAGCCCACGGCUCAACCGUGGAAGGUCAUUGGAAACUGGGUCACUUGAAUAUAGAAGAGGAAAGUGGAAUUCCAUGUGUAGCGGUGAAAUGCGUAGAUAUAUGGAGGAACACCAGUGGCGAAGGCGACUUUCUGGUCUAUUAUUGACGCUGAGGCUCGAAAGCAUGGGUAGCAAACAGGAUUAGAUA
rnacentral:rRNA from 1 species